UACGUAGGUGGCGAGCGUUAUCCGGAUUUACUGGGUGUAAAGGGCGUGUAGGCGGGCGUGCAAGUCAGAUGUGAAAUGUCGAGGCUUAACCUCGGAGUUGCAUUUGAAACUGUGCGUCUUGAGUGAUGGAGAGGCAGGCGGAAUUCCUAGUGUAGCGGUGAAAUGCGUAGAUAUUAGGAGGAACACCAGUGGCGAAGGCGGCCUGCUGGACAUUAACUGACGCUGAGGCGCGAAAGCGUGGGGAGCAAACAGG
rnacentral:rRNA from 1 species